AAAGGACAGAAUUGGAAAUUUUCAAGUAUUGAAACCCUAAUUCUCACAAAAGGGCUGGAAAGAGGCAGCAUGGAAUAUCAUUGAACAAUUUCAAUUUCAAAUUUGUAGAGUAAUCAUCUUUUAUCUUAGAUCUAGAGACAAAAAUUGUAGAUUUCCAUUUGGUACACUAAAGGCAAGUUGCCUUACAUUUCAGUUGUGGAUUUGAAGAUUGUGCUCUAUUUGAGUGAAGGAUCGGGAUGGUGAACCAAGAGAUCAUAUGUUCAUCUUCCUUUCUCAAAGUUGUUCGAGCUAGUUUGAAGCAAGGAGAAGCUGGUAAAUACGAGACAAGAGAUAGAACAGCGAACGAAUAAUAUUAAAAAUCAGGAAGAAAGUAGCAGUGAUACCAGAAAAGAAAGAUUUGAGGCCACAACUGAACUUUGGAAGUUGAAGGACAAAGAAGAUCAACUCGAAGACAGAUUGGAGAAAUAUGGGAUUUCUAAAAGAAUGCUCUUUAUUCAAUUACUUAUUCAUUUUGCAAGUUAUUUACAAUAAUGUUUACAUUCUACUUUGGCCUGUAGAUUUAGAGUUUUCGUUUUUCAGAAAAUGUGCUUCCUAAUAAGAUUGAUCUUUACAUAUGCUUGGAAUUUAAUUAAGACACCGAAAUCUUUAUUUUUGGUCUUGUUUCACUUUGAUAUGAUUA